rnacentral:rRNA from 1 species
GGAAGGAUCAUUACAGAAUCGUCAACGGGUUGUUGCUGGUCCUCAAACGGGGACAUGUGCACGCUCUGUUUACACAUCCACUCACACCUGUGCACCCUCCGUAGUUCUGUGGUCUGGGGGACCCUGUCUUCCUGCCGUGGUUCUACGUCUUUACACACACACUGUAAUAAAGUCUUAUGGAAUGUAUGCCGCGUCUAACGCAAUACAAUACAACUUUCAGCAACGGAUCUCUUGGCUCUCGCAUCGAUGAAGAACGCAGCGAAAUGCGAUAAGUAAUGUGAAUUGCAGAAUUCAGUGAAUCAUCGAAUCUUUGAACGCACCUUGCGCCCCUUGGCUAUUCCGAGGGGCAUGCCUGUUUGAGUAUCAUGAACACCUCAACUCUCAUGGUUUGCCGUGAUGAGCUUGGACUCUGGGGGUUUUGCUGGCCUGCGGUCGGCUCCCCUCAAAUGAAUCAGCCUCCCAGUGUUUGGUGGCAUCACGGGUGUGAUAAAUAUCUACGCUCGCAGUUGUCCGCCAGGUAACCUUUGGUAACAAAGGUUCGCUGGAGCUCACAGAUGUCUCUCCUCAGCGAGGACAGCUUUUUGAACGUUCGAUCUCAAAUCAGGUAGGACUACCCGCUGAACUUAAGCAUAUCAAUAAGCGGAGGAAA